GGAAUGGAUCAUCAGCCGGUUGUUAAUGGAUUUGCUGAUGAAGAAGUAAUUUUACAGAAUGCUUCUAGAGAAAAUGGCAACAAGUGAUGAUUUAAGUUCUGACCUCAGGAUUCAUUCCCUGACAGAAAGGUAAGCUUCAACUUUUUGUGAGUGUCCGUCGACUGCAAAAGAUCGGUUUUUUGUUGAGCAUAGCAAACAGCCAUAAAGUGUUCGUAUUAGAAUUUCUUUUAGUUCCAAAUAACGAUAGGUGUGAGAAGACACUGCUACAAAUAAGCUGAUUAGCACGUGUCUGGAAUAAGAUUGUGGGUGGCUGUGCCUCGUGUGCCACUUUUUUGUUCUUACCGCAUUUUGACGUCAUCUGUGAUUUAUUAAUGAACAGACGCAUGGCAACUUGGAAUCUAUUUGUUAAUUAGAUACUCGUUUUAAGUAGUUGUGAAGAACAGCUCCCCUCUAACGAUUGUCACUCAACUGUCAACUGGUUUACUUGAAAGAUGUGUUUACUUUUAUGAAUGUAUAUUUUCAGACUUCUGAAGUACUGCAAUAAAAAUAAUGCUUGGGUUGGUGAGAAAAGAA